ACUCUCCACCGCUGAGUCCCCUGAUUCCUCUCUACUGUUGCCCAGUCUCCUCUCUGACUUGACCGUCGGAGGGUCCCCGCCAGAGGCAUCUCCGGUCAGUGUGAACUUUCCUUUGCAGGUGCUCGUUCCCAGCGACCAGACGACGAGGGGAUUGGCCGCAACAGGUUUGGCACGCCAGGUAGGGGAUGCAAACGGCAAGGAACAGGGAUUGCGCCCCCCACAGCACCC
rnacentral:lncRNA from 1 species